rnacentral:rRNA from 1 species
AUUGAACGCUGGCGGCAGGCCUAACACAUGCAAGUCGAGCGGAUGAAGGGAGCUUGCUCCUGGAUUCAGCGGCGGACGGGUGAGUAAUGCCUAGGAAUCUCCCUGGUAGUGGGGGAUAACGUCCGGAAACGGGCGCUAAUACCGCAUACUACCUGCGGGAGAAAGUGGGGGAUCUUCGGACCUCACGCUCUCAGAUGAGCCUAGGUGGGAUUAGCUAGUUUGUGGGGUAAAGACCUACCAAGGCGACGAUCCGUAACUGGUCUGAGAGGAUGAUCAGUCACACUGGAACUGAGACACGGUCCAGACGCCUACGGGAGGCAGCAGUGGGGAAUGUUGGGCAAUGGGCGAAAGCCUGAUCCAGCCAUGCCGCGUGUGUGAAGAAGGUCUUCGGAGUGGAAAGCACUUUAAGUUGGGAGGAAGGGCAGUAAGUUAAUACCUUGCGGUAUUGACGUUACCAACAGAAUAAGCACCGGCUAACUUCGUG